rnacentral:rRNA from 1 species
AGUAAAUAGAUACCCGGGUAGUCCACGCCGUAAACGAUGUCGACUUGGAGGUUGUGCCCUUGAGGCGUGGCUUCCGGAGCUAAACGCGUUAAAGUCGACCGCCUGGGGAGUACGGCCGCAAGGUUAAAACUCAAAUGAAUUGACGGGGGCCCGCACAAGCGGUGGAGCAUGUGGUUUAAUUCGAUGCAACGCGAAGAACCUUACCUACUCUUGACAUCCAGAGAACUUAGCAGAGAUGCUUUGGUGCCUUCGGGAACUCUGAGACAGGUGCUGCAUGGCUGUCGUCAGCUCGUGUUGUGAAAUGUUGGGUUAAGUCCCGCAACGAGCGCAACCCUUAUCCUUUGUUGCCAGCGGUCCGGCCGGGAACUCAAAGGAGACUGCCAGUGAUAAACUGGAGGAAGGUGGGGAUGACGUCAAGUCAUCAUGGCCCUUACGAGUAGGGCUACACACGUGCUACAAUGGCGCAUACAAAGAGAAGCGACCUCGCGAGAGCAAGCGGACCUCAUAAAGUGCGUCGUAGUCCGG